rnacentral:pre_miRNA from 7 species
GUAUGGGAGUAGUCUUCAGGCUGUAAAUACUCUGUAGACUGAAAGAACCUAGUGGGGAAACCCCCACUCAAUUCUCGAUUUAGCGUGCACCCAAGAGUCACGAACAGACGA